CGGUAGCACAGAGGAGCUUGCUCCUUGGGUGACGAGUGGCGGACGGGUGAGUAAUGUCUGGGAAACUGCCCGAUGGAGGGGGAUAACUACUGGAAACGGUAGCUAAUACCGCAUAACGUCGCAAGACCAAAGAGGGGGACCUUCGGGCCUCUUGCCAUCGGAUGUGCCCAGAUGGGAUUAGCUAGUAGGUGGGGUAACGGCUCACCUAGGCGACGAUCCCUAGCUGGUCUGAGAGGAUGACCAGCCACACUGGAACUGAGACACGGUCCAGACUCCUACGGGAGGCAGCAGUGGGGAAUAUUGCACAAUGGGCGCAAGCCUGAUGCAGCCAUGCCGCGUGUAUGAAGAAGGCCUUCGGGUUGUAAAGUACUUUCAGCGAGGAGGAAGGUGUUGAGGUUAAUAACCGCAGCGAUUGACGUUACUCGCAGAAGAAGCACCGGCUAACUCCGUGCCAGCAGCCGCGGUAAUACGGAGGGUGCAAGCGUUAAUCGGAAUUACUGGGCGUAAAGCGCACGCAGGCGGUCUGUCAAGUCGGAUGUGAAAUCCCCGGGCUCAACCUGGGAACUGCAUCCGAAACUGGCAGGCUAGAGUCUUGUAGAGGGGGGUAGAAUUCCAGGUGUAGCGGUGAAAUGCGUAGAGAUCUGGAGGAAUACCGGUGGC
rnacentral:rRNA from 1 species